AACGAACGCUGGCGGCAGGCUUAACACAUGCAAGUCGAACGAUGUAGCAAUACAUAGUGGCGCACGGGUGAGUAACGCGUGGGAAUAUACCUUAUAGUGGGGAAUAACUUCGGGAAACUGAAGCUAAUACCGCAUACGCCCGAGAGGGGAAAGAUUUAUCGCUAUAAGAUUAGCCCGCGUGAGAUUAGGUAGUUGGUGGGGUAAUGGCCUACCAAGCCUACGAUCUCUAGCUGGUCUGAGAGGAUGAUCAGCCACACUGGAACUGAGACACGGUCCAGACUCCUACGGGAGGCAGCAGUGGGGAAUAUUGGACAAUGGGCGAAAGCCUGAUCCAGCCAUGCCGCGUGAAUGAUGAAGGCCUUAGGGUUGUAAAGUUCUUUCGCCGAUGAAGAUAAUGACGGUAGUCGGAGAAGAAGCCCCGGCUAACUUCGUGCCAGCCGCCGCGGUAACAC
rnacentral:rRNA from 1 species